GAAUAAUGGUUUGUACCGAACCUUUGCCGAAGGAUUUGGUGCCCAAAAUCAACGCCCUCCCAUGAUCUUGCAGGGCGCCAGCAACAAUUUCUGAGGCAGAGGCAGAGCCCCCAUUCACCAACACAAUAACGGGCUUACCCUCGGUAAGAUCACCAUUUUCGGCGGUGAAACGAAUUUCAGAUUCAUCUUCGCGGCCCUUGGUUGACACAAUUUCCCCGCGGUCAAGGAACGCAUCGGAAACCAUAACGGCCUGGUUCAGCAACCCACCUGGGUUGUUGCGCA
rnacentral:ncRNA from 1 species